UCUGUAGGUGGCUUGCUAAGUCAGACGUGAAAUCCCUCAGCUUAACUGGGGAACUGCGUCUGAUACUGGCAAGCUUGAGUGCAGGAGAGGAACGCGGAAUUCCAGGUGUAGCGGUGAAAUGCGUAGAUAUCUGGAGGAACACCGGUGGCGAAGGCGGCGUUCUGGACUGCAACUGACGCUGAGAGACGAAAGCCAGGGGAGCAAACG
rnacentral:rRNA from 1 species